rnacentral:rRNA from 1 species
CGCGUAGGCGGCCGUGUAAGUCAGAUGUGAAAUUCCAGGGCUCAACCCUGGAGCUGCAUUUGAAACUGCACAGAUAGAGGAUAGGAGGAGAAAACGGAAUUCCACAAGUAGCGGUGAAAUGCGUAGAUAUGUGGAAGAACACCGGUGGCGAAGGCGGUUUUCUAUCUUAUUCCUGACGCUGAGGCGCGAAAGCAAGGGGAUCAAACA